rnacentral:lncRNA from 14 species
GCACUUUAUGCACAGUUCGUGCUCCAGAGUGUUUUCACUUCCAGUUGUGAGCUGUUUAUGGCUUGUGAGCUAGAUAAUGCCAUAGCAGCACACAUUAUCCUGAUCCUUUGUCAUCUCUCAAGACUAUAAAAAUCAAUAUCCUGCAAUAAUAAUAAAUGCAGUUCCUUGAUUUGCAAUACUGUCAAAGAUUGAUUGUAAAUCUCAGUAAACAAAGAUUCAUCCAGGUGUAGGACAGCAGAUAUCUCCAAGCAACAAGGCAAAAGGGUAAAAGAAAUACAAAGAAAGAAAUAUUGACAUUUUUCACAAUGUAGCUGAUAAACAGGAAGUAAAACUUUGAGCUUUGAAACUUGCAUUUUUGUGUUGUUAUCUGAAAUCAGAUGGCUGAUGCUUGUAUAUGCUUGUAUUUUCAGAUUAUAAGUCUGCUUUUUGGGCUAUUAUUGUGCAAGAUACUGAACCAAUUACUUAUCUGUGUAAACCAUGAAAGAGUCAUCUACACAUCCUUCAUGCUAACAGGACAGUGGACAAGGAUGGCAUCAUCAGAAAAGGGUUUGGGGAGAGGGUGCUCCCUACAUGCCAAAUAUAAGACAGGCUAAGCAGGAUUACUCAGAGGUGCUGAGCACCUCCAUCUUCAGCAGCGACAAAGAGUGCUGUGGUAG